rnacentral:rRNA from 1 species
GACGAACGCUGGCGGCGUGCUUAACACAUGCAAGUCGAACGGAAAGGCCCUGCUUUUGUGGGGUGCUCGAGUGGCGAACGGGUGAGUAACACGUGAGUAAUCUGCCCUUGACUUUGGGAUAACUUCAGGAAACUGGGGCUAAUACCGGAUAGGAGCUCCUGCUGCAUGGUGGGGGUUGGAAAGUUUCGGCGGUUGGGGAUGGACUCGCGGCUUAUCAGCUUGUUGGUGGGGUAGUGGCUUACCAAGGCUUUGACGGGUAGCCGGCCUUAGAGGGUGACCGGCCAACUUGGGACUGGGGUUACGCCCCAGACUCUUACGGGAGCAGGAGUGGGGAAUUAUGGCCAAUGGGGCGAAGCCUGAUGCCGGCAACGCGGGGGCCGGAAGAACGGCUUCCGGGUGGAAACCGGUUUUCCCCUGUGCGAAGGCGUAAUGACGGUAAUUGGUUAAGAAGCACCGGCUAACUACGUG